rnacentral:rRNA from 1 species
UAAGGAAUAUUGGGCAAUGGACGAAAGUCUGACCCAGCCAUGCCGCGUGAAGGAUUAAGGUCCUCUGGAUUGUAAACUUCUUUUCUCUGGGGCGAAAAACAGCUAUUCUUAGUUGCUUGACAGUACCAGAGGAAUAAGCACCGGCUAACUCCGUGCCAGCAGCCGCGGUAAUACGGAGGGUGCAAGCGUUAUCCGGAUUCACUGGGUUUAAAGGGUGCGUAGGUGGGCUAGUAAGUCCGUGGUGAAAUCCCCGAGCUUAACUUGGGAACUGCCAUUGAUACUAUUAGUCUUGAAUAUCGUGGAGGUAAGCGGAAUAUGUCAUGUAGCGGUGAAAUGCUUAGAUAUGACAUAGAACACCAAUUGCGAAGGCAGCUUUGCUUACACGGUCAUUGACACUGAGGCACGAAAGCGUGGGGAGCAAACA